rnacentral:lncRNA from 1 species
AAAAAUCCCCAACUCCUUUUUCCCGUCGUUGCUUCCUGGGAAUUCUCGUCCAGUCCGUCCCUAUCCCGUACACCGUCUAUCCGCCUCCGUCCUCAUCCGCUCAAGUCCCGAUCCGCGCCGCUGGCCGCGGCCAUCCGAGCUGCCACCACCGGCACCAAGCAUCCGACUCCAGCUUGGCCACGGCAACCCCGGACGCGGCAGAUGAAUCUUCCGGCUGGGCCUGGGAGGGUGAUGGCGGCGCUCGAGAUCUAGCCCAGCGAGGGGCCGCGCCGCUCCCGUGCAGGUGCUUCGCCGCUCCCACGCAGGUGCUCCACCGCUUCGAGGUGAUUUGUUCUGUGCGAUAUAUACGCAGUACGCUGCCUGCUUGCUAGGAUGCGAUUUGUUCUGUGCGAUGUCUGUGCAAUGCAUAGAUGUGAUUUGUUCCUUUUGUUCUCGUAUGCGGCCAAAGCCAGUAGAUACAAAGAAUCUAUCACUCAGAAACAUGAUUAAGUUUUUUUGAUUGUUUGUUCAAGUAAAUAAAUUCCCAACUGACCAACUUCUCCUAAUUAAGUUCUGGAACACGUUUGUUGCAUAGAUACUUGUUGACGUCAGAUUUUGACACGUAUGGAAUCGGCGUCAAAAAAUAAAAGGAUUAGCCGAUGCGGCGAGUAAAAAGGGUGCGAUUGGGAAUCGGCCGGUUGGUGCUACAGUUGGAGAUCAGCCGAUUGGCGCUGCAGUGUUUUGGCGGACGGAGUUGGUAGAAAUCGGCCGAUUAAGAGGCUGGGGCAAUUGGGCCAAUACGGGCUUAAAGUGAAUUACAAAGAGAAGAUAAAGGAGGAUUGGCCCACAGGAGCACAACGACCAACUCCGAUGCGAGUUGUAAUUGUAAAUAUUUGUUUUCGUUUAAAAUUAGAGAUAGAAUCCUAGUCGGUUAAAAGAUUGGUUCUAACAGGCUAUAAAUAGCCAUCCUUAGAGAUCUGUAAAAACAACAUCAAAUCAAUACAACAAUCUACUAUUGCCUCGUA